AAAACAUCUUUUCUUGUUUUUAUUUGAAAUUUGACCUGCCCAAUGAUUUAUUUAAUGGCCGCGGUAUUUUGACCGUGCAAAGGUAGCAUAAUCAUUAGUCUAUUAAUUGUGGACUUGUAUGAAUGGUUGGACGAAAUAUUAACUGUCUCAUAUUUAUUAUUAGAAAUUAAAUUUUUAGUUAAAAUGCUUAAAUUUUUAUAUUAGACGAGAAGACCCUAUAGAUCUUUAUUUGUAAUUUUAUAUAAUUUUUUAGAUUAUUUAUUUUAUAUAAUUUUGUUUAUUUUGUUGGGGUGACAUAAGGAUAUAAAUAACUCCUUAUUUUUUUUUACAUUUAUUUAUGUAAUUAUGACCUUUUAUUAUUGUUAUAAGAUUAGAUACCUUAGGGAUAACAGCGUUAUUUUACUUGAGAGUUCAUAUUGACAGUAAAGAUUGCGACCUCGAUGUUGGAUUAAGAUUAUAAUUAGGUGUAGGUGCUUAAAUUAUAGGUCUGUUCGACCUUUAAAUUCUUACAUGAUCUGAGUUCA
rnacentral:rRNA from 1 species